rnacentral:tRNA from 1 species
CGGGGUGUGGCGCAGCCUGGUAGCGCACUUGCAUGGGGCGCAAGAGGUCGCUGGUUCGAAUCCAGUCACCCCGACCA